rnacentral:rRNA from 1 species
UUGUCUCAAAGAUUAAGCCAUGCAUGUCUCAGUACAAGCCACAUUAAGGUGAAACCGCGAAAGGCUCAUUAAAUCAGUUAUGGUUCCUUAGAUCGUACCCACAUUUACUUGGAUAACUGUGGUAAUUCUAGAGCUAAUACAUGCAAACAGAGUUCCGACCGGAGACGGGAGGAAUGCUUUUAUUAGAUCAAAACCAAUCGGCGGCGGGUUCGCCCGUUCGCCGCUCAAUUUGGUGACUCUGAAUAACUUUCGGCUGAUCGCACGGUCUCGCACCGGCGACGCAUCUUUCAAAUGUCUGCCUUAUCAACUGUCGAUGGUAGGUUCUGCGCCUACCAUGGUCGUAACGGGUAACGGGGAAUCAGGGUUCGAUUCCGGAGAGGGAGCCUGAGAAACGGCUACCACAUCCAAGGAAGGCAGCAGGCGCGCAAAUUACCCACUCCCGGCACGGGGAGGUAGUGACGAAAAAUAACGAUACGGGACUCAUCCGAGGCCCCGUAAUCGGAAUGAGUACACUUUAAAUCCUUUAACGAGGAUCAAUUGGAGGGCAAGUCUGGUGCCAGCAGCCGCGGUAAUUCCAGCUCCAAUAGCGUA